rnacentral:rRNA from 1 species
UACGGAGGAUCCGAGCGUUAUCCGGAUUUAUUGGGUUUAAAGGGAGCGUAGGUGGAUUGUUAAGUCAGUUGUGAAAGUUUGCGGCUCAACCGUAAAAUUGCAGUUGAAACUGGGAGUCUUGAGUACAGUAGAGGUGGGCGGAAUUCGUGGUGUAGCGGUGAAAUGCUUAGAUAUCACGAAGAACUCCGAUUGCGAAGGCAGCUCACUAGACUGUAACUGACACUGAUGCUCGAAAGUGUGGGUAUCAAACAGG